CACAGGUUUGGUCCUGGCCUUUCUAUUAAUUCUUAAUAAAAUUACACAUGCAAGUAUCCGCGCCCCGGUGAGAAUGCCCUCCAGAUCUUAAAGAUCAAAAGGAGCAGGUAUCAAGCACACCUAUAACGGUAGCUCAUAACGCCUUGCUCAACCACACCCCCACGGGAAACAGCAGUGAUAAAAAUUAAGCCAUGAACGAAAGUUUGACUAAGUUAUAUUAAUCAGAGUUGGUAAAUCUCGUGCCAGCCACCGCGGUCAUACGAUUAACCCAAAUUAAUAGAUCCACGGCGUAAAGAGUGUUUAAGAAAAAACCACAAUAGAGUUAAAUUAUAACUAAGCUGUAAAAAGCCCUAGUUAAAAUAAAAUAACCCACGAAAGUGACUCUAAUAAUUCUGACACACGAUAGCUAGGACCCAAACUGGGAUUAGAUACCCCACUAUGCCUAGCCCUAAACCCAAAUAGUUACAUAACAAAACUAUUCGCCAGAGUACUACUCGCAACUGCCUAAAACUCAAAGGACUUGGCGGUGCUUCACAUCCACCUAGAGGAGCCUGUUCUAUAAUCGAUAAACCCCGAUAGACCUUACCAACCCUUGCCAAUUCAGCCUAUAUACCGCCAUCUUCAGCAAACCCUAAAAAGGAACAAUAGUAAGCACAAUCAUAACACAUAAAAACGUUAGGUCAAGGUGUAGCUUAUGGGUUGGAAAGAAAUGGGCUACAUUUUCUACAUAAGAACACCCACCAUACGAAAGUUUUUAUGAAACUAAAAACCAAAGGAGGAUUUAGCAGUAAAUCAAGAAUAGAGUGCUUGAUUGAAUAAGGCCAUGAAGCACGCACACACCGCCCGUCACCCUCCUCAAGCAUGUAGUAAUAAAAAUAACCUAUAUUUAAUUACACAACCAUGCAAGAAGAGACAAGUCGUAACAAGGUAAGCAUACUGGAAAGUGUGCUUGGACUAC
rnacentral:ncRNA from 1 species